GUGAACGCUGGCGGUAGGCCUAACACAUGCAAGUCGAACGGCAGCACAGUAAGAGCUUGCUCUUACGGGUGGCGAGUGGCGGACGGGUGAGGAAUACAUCGGAAUCUACUUUUUCGUGGGGGAUAACGUAGGGAAACUUACGCUAAUACCGCAUACGACCUACGGGUGAAAGCAGGGGAUCUUCGGACCUUGCGCGAUUGAAUGAGCCGAUGUCGGAUUAGCUAGUUGGCGGGGUAAAGGCCCACCAAGGCGACGAUCCGUAGCUGGUCUGAGAGGAUGAUCAGCCACACUGGAACUGAGACACGGUCCAGACUCCUACGGGAGGCAGCAGUGGGGAAUAUUGGACAAUGGGCGCAAGCCUGAUCCAGCCAUACCGCGUGGGUGAAGAAGGCCUUCGGGUUGUAAAGCCCUUUUGUUGGGAAAGAAAAGCAGCAGGUUAAUACCCCGCCGUUCUGACGGUACCCAAAGAAUAAGCACCGGCUAACUUCGUG
rnacentral:rRNA from 1 species